CGCCUGUUUAUCAAAAACAUCUCUUCUCGUUAGUUUUUGAAGUAUGGCCUGCCCACUGACCUUGAAUGUUGAAGGGCCGCGGUAUUUUGACCGUGCAAAGGUAGCAUAGUCAUUAGUUCUUUAAUUGUGAUCUGGUAUGAAUGGCUUGACGAGGCAUAAGCUGUCUUAAUUUUGAAUUGUUUAUUGAAUUUGGUCUUUGAGUUAAAAUUCUUAGAUGUUUUUAUGGGACGAGAAGACCCUAUAGAGUUUAACAUUUAUUACGGUCUCUUUCUGUUUGUGAGGGUUCACUAGGGCUGUUUAAUAUGUUUUGUUGGGGUGAUGGGAGGGAUAUUAUUUAACCCCUCCUUUGUGUUGUUAUAUUUAUUUAUAUUUGCUUGAUCCAUUUAUUUUGAUUGUAAGAUUAAAUUACCUUAGGGAUAACAGCGUAA
rnacentral:rRNA from 1 species